rnacentral:rRNA from 1 species
CACGUAGGGCGCAAGCGUUGUCCGGAAUUAUUGGGCGUAAAGAGCUCGUAGGCGGUCUGUUACGUCUGCUGUGAAAACCCUGGGCUUAACCCUGGGCUUGCAGUGGAUACGGGCAGACUAGAGGCAGGUAGGGGAGAAUGGAAUUCCCGGUGUAGCGGUGAAAUGCGCAGAUAUCGGGAGGAACACCGGUGGCGAAGGCGGCGACCUGGGUAGAUACUGACGCUGAGGUGCGAAAGCGUGGGGAGCAAACAGG